rnacentral:lncRNA from 1 species
GAUCGGAUCAUAUUUAUAUAUAUUUUUACUUCAAAUUCACUCGUCUUUUCUUAGUUAGUUCCUUAUAUUUUUGAGCUAUUUACGUUAUUUUUGUGUUUAUAGGAUUUGUUAUGCAAAGAAAAUAAAAAUAGCACAAAUGAGUUUUAAAUAAUAAACAGAAAAUAGUGGAACACGGGUGGACCACUAGAAAAAUAAUGGAGAGCAUAAAAUAUAUAUAUAUAUAAUAUAUACAUAUAAAUAGAUAUAGAUAUAUAAAUAAUAUAUAUAUAUAUAUCACAUAUAUAUCUAUAUAUAGUGGGAGUUGGUGAAUGGCAUUUGUGAAGUGCGGUAG